UUAAAUGUGGUCCGGUAUCAAUAAUAUUUUUGUUGUGUUUUAAUUAGACUGAAUUUAAUUAAAAAUAUCUAAAUAAUAAAAUAUUAGUAAUCUAUAAAAAAAAUGAUAAUAGUUAAAUAAUUUACAUCUUAAUAUAAGUUUGUAAAAUCUAAGAAGAAAAAUAAAGAAAUGUUAAUAAAAUUAUAUUAUUAAUUAAAUUUUUUAUACUUUAACUUACUUAACAAAAUAACUAAUCUAAUAAAUUGAUAGUUUUUACUAUUAUUCUAUUCUUAUUUAAUAAAUUUUUAAUAGUUUGCUGAAUCUAAUUAAAAUAAAUCACGUUAUGUUAUUGUAAAAUAAUCCUAUUUGUUGGAAAUACUUUAUAAAUAUAUAAUACUUAAUAAUAAAAUAAAAAAUAAUAAAUAAACAAAAAAAAUAAAGUAAAAAUUUAUAUAUUUUAGUCAACCAACAGCAAAUAAUAAAAUAAAAAUUUGCUUAGAGACUAUACGGAUUUAACUAAUUAAAGAUUAGUAAGAUAUAGUCCAAUUUAAUCGAAUUCAUUAAUUUAUAUAUAAUUUUUGAAUGAUUAUUAUUGUUAACGAUGGCUUCACUGUCUCUACAACUUGCUCAGUGAAAUUGAAUUA
rnacentral:ncRNA from 8 species